AGCCAGCAUCUGCCUUGAAGCCCAUUCUUCCCACUCAGCUCAGUGGACGGGGCCAUCUUGAGUGUUCCUCUUCCCUCUGGUUCCACCCACCCUGUCAGCCGGGACCCUGAGCCCCAUAGUCCCCUCAUUGUCUCUAUCCUGUGGGGCGAGCGGGGGUCACAGGUCACCCUUCCCCUUUCUUCCUCCACAUAGGGAGCAAUCACUGUGAAUUGCCUAGCAUGGGCAACAGGGCCUGGUGCAAUUGUGCUAGCCGUGGGCUCCGUGGCAGUAGGACUCACAGGAAUGGGCUUCCUCUGGUGGAAUAAGGACAAGCAAUACAAGAUGCAGGAAAGGCAGUCCUCGGGUUACCUACAUCAUGUCCUGGUUACGACAGGAAUUGUUACCUUUCUUUUCAUUUUCUUUUACUGUUUCACUUCAUUUCUGACUGGCGACAACAAUGGCGUUAUGUCAAGCUAUAGAAACUGAUCUCCCAGGUUACCCGAGGACCUACUCUAUUAUUGACAGGAAUCCUUUCCAAUCCCCUGGCCAAAAGCAGAAGGCUCCACCUUCUUGGGGAAUGUGUGAAGCAACAUGCUAUACACAGCUUAUAUUUUGAGUAUAAACAAGUCAACUUUUGAGCAAAAUCAAAAUUAAUUAAAUACA